UAAGGUGAAACCGCGAAUGGCUCAUUAAAUCACACCUAAUCUAUUGGAAUGUUAGCAGUUACUUGGAUAACUGAGGUAAUUCUUGAGCUAAUACAUGCGAAAAAUCUCGACUCACGAAGAGAUGCUUUUAUUAGACCAAACCAAUCRGCUUCGGCUGAACAAYUGGUGACUCUGAAUAACUUUGGGCUGAUCGCAUUGCCUUGUGCAGGCGACAUUUCCUAUGAAGGUGUGCCCUAUCAACUGUCGACUGUGAUAUAGACGCUCACAGUGGUUUUGACGGGUAACGAGGAAUCUGGGUUCGAUUUCGGAGAGGGAGCCUUAAAAACGGCUACCACA
rnacentral:rRNA from 1 species